rnacentral:tRNA from 1 species
GGGGAUGUAGCUCAGUGGUACAGCACACGCUUGGCACACAUGAGGUCCUGGGUUUAAUCCCCUGUACCUCCA